UAAGCCUGCGAAGGUGGCCUGUGAGGGUUGCUGGAGGUAUCAGAAGUGCGAAUGCUGACAUAAGUAACGAUAAAGCGGGUGAAAAGCCCGCUCGCCGGAAGACCAAGGGUUCCUGUCCAACGUUAAUCGGGGCAGGGUGAGUCGACCCCUAAGGCGAGGCCGAAAGGCGUAGUCGAUGGGAAACGGGUUAAUAUUCCCGUACUUGGUGUUACUGCGAAGGGGGGACGGAGAAGGCUAUGUUGGCCGGGCGACGGUUGUCCCGGUUUAAGCGUGUAGGCUGGUUUUCCAGGCAAAUCCGGAAAAUCAAGGCUGAGGCGUGACGACGAGGCACUACGGUGCUGAAGCAACAAAUGCCCUGCUUCCAGGAAAAGCCUCUAAGCAUCAGGUAACAUCAAAUCGUACCCCAAACCGACACAGGUGGUCAGGUAGAGAAUACCAAGGCGCUUGAGAGAACUCGGGUGAAGGAACUAGGCAAAAUGGUGCCGUAACUUCGGGAGAAGGCACGCUGACACGUAGGUGAAGUGAUUUACUCAUGGAGCUGAAGUCAGUCGAAGAUACCAGCUGGCUGCAACUGUUUAUUAAAAACACAGCACUGUGCAAACACGAAAGUGGACGUAUACGGUGUGACGCCUGCCCGGUGCCGGAAGGUUAAUUGAUGGGGUCAGCGCAAGCGAAGCUCCUGAUCGAAGCCCCGGUAAACGGCGGCCGUAACUAUAACGGUCCUAAGGUAGCGAAAUUCCUUGUCGGGUAAGUUCCGACCUGCACGAAUGGCGUAAUGAUGGCCAGGCUGUCUCCACCCGAGACUCAGUGAAAUUGAACUCGCUGUGAAGAUGCAGUGUACCCGCGGCAAGACGGAAAGACCCCGUGAACCUUUACUAUAGCUUGACACUGAACAUUGAGCCUUGAUGUGUAGGAUAGGUGGGAGGCUUUGAAGUGUGGACGCCAGUCUGCAUGGAGCCAACCUUGAAAUACCACCCUUUAAUGUUUGAUGUUCUAACGUGGACCCGUAAUCCGGGUUGCGGACAGUGUCUGGUGGGUAGUUUGACUGGGGCGGUCUCCUCCUAAAGAGUAACGGAGGAGCACGAAGGUUGGCUAAUCCUGGUCGGACAUCAGGAGGUUAGUGCAAUGGCAUAAGCCAGCUUGACUGCGAGCGUGACGGCGCGAGCAGGUGCGAAAGCAGGUCAUAGUGAUCCGGUGGUUCUGAAUGGAAGGGCCAUCGCUCAACGGAUAAAAGGUACUCCGGGGAUAACAGGCUGAUACCGCCCAAGAGUUCAUAUCGACGGCGGUGUUUGGCACCUCGAUGUCGGCUCAUCACAUCCUGGGGCUGAAGUAGGUCCCAAGGGUAUGGCUGUUCGCCAUUUAAAGUGGUACGCGAGCUGGGUUUAGAACGUCGUGAGACAGUUCGGUCCCUAUCUGCCGUGGGCGCUGGAGAACUGAGGGGGGCUGCUCCUAGUACGAGAGGACCGGAGUGGACGCAUCACUGGUGUUCGGGUUGUCAUGCCAAUGGCACUGCCCGGUAGCUAAAUGCGGAAGAGAUAAGUGCUGAAAGCAUCUAAGCACGAAACUUGCCCCGAGAUG
rnacentral:rRNA from 1 species